GCGCACCGGCCAGCUAGCCCCUUUGUGCGGCGGGGGCUGCGGAGUGCUCCCUCCAAGACCGGUUGCACCCCGCUUUCCUGGCCAGGACUCUGGGCGCGGCAGCUACAAAGACGACGCCGGCUGCGCUCGCGGGACCAGAGGGAGGGAGGCUGCGGACGAGUGCGGGGAGGAGUUUGAGAUGGGAGGCGCUUGCAGGGGCUCCCCCAGUUCUGCGCUGUGAGCCGGGGCACAAAGAGCCCUCUGCACUAGCGCCGCAGGACCGCGGACCCGAGUUGGAGGCAUCUGUCCACCCAUGUGGUUCCAGACACGUUCAUGUGGCCACCAUGACCCCGUCGGCAUCACAGGGGUAACCAAGAGAGCAGCAAGUUCCUGGGACAGAGGAGACAGAAGGGAAUUUCCAGGUUCUUCAGGACGUUCACAACCACACUGAGAAGCAUCUUUGCAGAUAAGUAUUUAAACUUACCAGCCCAUAGCCUACCAGCCUGCCCUCUUCUGGUCUGUGCAGGAAAGUGUAGUAUCCUAGAAUGCCAAAGUGGGAGGGGAAAUGGGUGAUGUAGCUCAUUCUCUUUUCUACCUCUAUGGAAGAAAGAAAGA
rnacentral:lncRNA from 1 species